GGGAGAAAUGAAGAUCUUCAUCCACUUAUUCUGUAUAAGAAUGAUGAUUAUUUAACAUGCACUACCAUCUGAUCUCUC
rfam:Macleaya cordata isolate BLH2017 scaffold1707, whole genome shotgun sequence.